CCUUGUACACACCGCCCGUCACACCAUGGGAGUUGGUCCUACCCGAAGGUAGUGCGCUAACCGCAAGGAGGCAGCUAACCACGGUAGGGUCAGCGACUGGGGUG
rnacentral:rRNA from 1 species